rnacentral:misc_RNA from 1 species
CUUUGGUGGAGUGCGCGUGUGCACAGUGCUCACGGUAACUUCAUGUUGGGGCCUGUUUCAGGGCCCACUGCUGUCUGAGGAGGAGGGGGUGUGCCCGGAUGGCUUGCACGCAUGUGCAGCGACACGCGAGACCGUGCCGUGAGUGCGUGGCAGCCUGGGCACUCUUGCCCUCUCAUGACUCGGCACGCCCUUGAAAGGAGUGGGGGUGUGUGACAAGCGGGAAAGGCCCGCGGCGAAACACGUACCUACGCACAAAGAACUGACAGUCUCUUAUCUUUGUCGAAUCGUCAACACGAUUUUGUUGUGUGCUUGCGCAACGGUGGACAUGGGGGUGCACAUCUCGCCAUAACGGCGCCAGCCCAUGUCUGUCUGCCUACACCAAGAGCCCGAAACCGUACCCGGAGGCAGGCUCUCGGCUUCCCGGCAUAGUGGGUACCCCGUGCCUGCGAUCACACCCUCCUCCCACUGAUGCAGCCGGUACCAUCAGGCGAACAACAUACUC